CUUAACGUUAUCAGCUACAUUCCAUUGAAGCACACGCUGGGACGCUUCUAGUUGCUACGUCAGCUGUCGGAAACACCCGAGUACUCAGGAAUACUUUGUUUUCGGACGUCUCGGUAGGUCUUUGCUGCAAAUGCCGUAUGCUUUGAAACCGGUCACUAACAGCCUAAAUCUAAAUUGUUAUGAUUUUGGUGCGACAUGACCUUUAAGGCCCACAGAAAAGUUUGGGUUUUUGAAGUCCAGGGAUACAUUCUGGAAGGUUUUUGAUGACUAUUUUCUCACCCCGAUCCCCCCAAUUUAGAUGUUCUGCUUAAUGUGUGUUUAAUUACAAUGUCUUUUUCAG